AGCCCAGAUCCUCCUUAAGGAGCAGGUUUGAGUUUGGCUAUAAAUAGUGCUCUUCAGCUACUGUUAACUAGCAUCUCUCUUCUUCUCACAGAAACAAAUUUAGUGUAGAAUGGAAACAACGCAUGCAGAAAACUGCUGGAGCAUCAGAAACCACAGACCAGCAAAACCCAACAGGACCGAGAGAGAAACGGAGCACAGAAAUGAGACACAAGCCAGUGAACCACAAGAGAAAAGACUUGUUAGAUGUGACAGUAUGCGGAAAAUAAAGCCAGACCUCUCUUGUGAAGACCUGAACAUUAUCCUUCAUCAUCACAUCAGCUCCUGGACUCCUUCACAGACUCGUCUGAGCACAAACACACAGACUAACGAAUGGCUUCUCUCUCAGAUCUGUCUCAAUGCUGCACUUUACUGACAACACUCUGCAUGAACAUUCGAUCCUCUGCUUCUGCCGUGUUUUACUCCGUAUUCUGCACUGC